UACGAAUGGGGCAAGCGUUGUUCGGAAUCACUGGGCUUAAAGCGUACGCAGGCGGUCUCGCAAGUCGGGAGUGAAAUCCCAGGGCUUAACCCUGGAAUUGCUUCCGAAACUGCAAGACUAGAAUCCGAGAGAGGUUGGCGGAAUUCCGAGUGUAGAGGUGAAAUUCGCAGAUAUUCGGAGGAACACCAGUGGCGAAGGCGGCCAACUGGAUCGGUAUUGACGCUCAUGUACGAAAGCGUGGGGAUCAAACAGG
rnacentral:rRNA from 1 species